rfam:Moraxella bovis strain CCTG 2133 2133T_ctg_0000051, whole genome shotgun sequence.
GCUGACGACAAUAGCAAGAUGGAACCACCUGAUCCCUUCCCGAACUCAGAAGUGAAACGUCUUAGCGCCGAUGGUAGUGUGGUUUGCCCAUGCGAGAGUAGGUCAUCGUCAGCA